rnacentral:rRNA from 1 species
GUGAGGAAUUUUCCGCAAUGGGCGAAAGCCUGACGGAGCAAUGCCGCGUGAAGGAUGAAGGCCUAUGGGUUGUAAACUUCUUUUCUUAGAGAAGAAUAUUGACGGUAUCUGAGGAAUAAGCAUCGGCUAACUCUGUGCCAGCAGCCGCGGUAAGACAGAGGAUGCAAGCGUUAUCCGGCAUGAUUGGGCGUAAAGCGUCUGUAGGUGGCUUCAAAAGUCUCCUGUCAAAGAUCAGGGCUUAACCCUGGGACGGCAGGAGAAACUCAGAGGCUAGAGUUUGGUAGGGGCAGAGGGAAUUCCCGGUGGAGCGGUGAAAUGCGUAGAGAUCGGGAGGAACACCAAAGGCGAAAGCACUCUGCUGGGCCACAACUGACACUGAGAGACGAAAGCGAGGGGAGCAAAAGGGAUUAGAAACCCUAGUAGUCC